rnacentral:rRNA from 1 species
AUGUCGCCGCCCCUCUUCUCCUCGCUCGCCUCGGCCGCCUCCUCUCCUCCGCCGUGUCGUCGACCCCCUCCCUCCUCCUACCUCCUCCUCCCUCCUCUCAGUCCCGUGCCAGUCGCCGCCCAAACCCUAGCCUCCGUUUCCCUCGAUCCCCGCAGUAACCGCAUCCACAGCCACCCGCUCCUUCUCAUAGCCGCCGCACCAUUCCUCCCUUCCGCCCCCUCCUCCUUCCCGGAUCCCCACCACGGCGCCGACCUGCAGGCAAAGGGCGACGAAGAGUGGUAG